rnacentral:rRNA from 1 species
AUACGGAGGAUCCGAGCGUUAUCCGGAUUUAUUGGGUUUAAAGGGUGCGUAGGCGGUUUGAUAAGUCAGCGGUGAAAUAUUUCAGCUUAACUGGAAGGGUGCCGUUGAUACUGUCGAGCUUGAAUUUAGUUGCUGUGGGUGGAAUGUGUGGUGUAGCGGUGAAAUGCAUAGAUAUCACACAGAAUAUCGAUUGCGAAGGCAGCUCACAAAGCUAAUAUUGACGCUGAUGCACGAAAGUGUGGGGAUCAAACAGGAUUAGAUACCCUGGUAGUCCACACUGUAAACGAUGAUAACUCGCUGUCGGCGAUACAUAGUCGGUGGCCAAGCGAAAGCGAUAAGUUAUCCACCUGGGGAGUACGACCGCAAGGUUGAAACUCAAAGGAAUUGACGGGG